rnacentral:rRNA from 1 species
CAGUAGCCACGGGAACACAGAGGGUGCGAGCGUUAAUCGGAUUUACUGGGCGUAAAGCGUGCGUAGGCGGCUAAUUGAGUCGGAUGUGAAAUCCCCGAGCUUAACUUGGGAAUUGCAUUCGAUACUGGUUAGCUAGAGUGUGGGAGAGGAUGGUAGAAUUCCAGGUGUAGCGGUGAAAUGCGUAGAGAUCUGGAGGAAUACCGAUGGCGAAGGCAGCCAUCUGGCCUAACACUGACGCUGAGGUACGAAAGCAUGGGGAGCAAACAGGAUUAGAUACCCCCGUAGUCCCUGUCUCUUAUAC